AGGACGAACGCUGGCGGCGUGCUUAACACAUGCAAGUCGAGCGGAAAGGCCCUUCGGGGUACUCGAGCGGCGAACGGGUGAGUAACACGUGAGUAAUCUGCCCCUAGCUCUGGGAUAGCUCCGGGAAACCGGGAUUAAUACCAGAUAUUACCACUUUUAGACAUCUCUUGUGGUGGAAAGAUUUCGGCUAGGGAUGAACUCGCGGCCUAUCAGCUUGUUGGUGAGGUAACGGCUCACCAAGGCGACGACGGGUA
rnacentral:rRNA from 1 species